AAGAACAAACACCUUGCACAAUAUGAAUCAAAGAAAGCCAAAAAACUUGCACUUAAGCUAAAAGAAAAAAAACCUGCACUUGUUGCCAAGUCUUCCAUCUUAGACAUGAAACCUUGGGAUGAUGAGACAGAUAUGGCAAAAUGAAAGGAGUGAGUCAGAAGCAUUCAAGCAGAUGGCUUAGUCUGGGGCUCAUCUAAACUAGUUCCAGUGGGAUACAGAUUUAAGAAACUUCAAAUACAGUGUGUGGUUGAAGAUGAUAAAUUUGGAACAGAUAUGCUGGAGGAGCAGAUCGCUGCUUUUCAGGAUUAUGUAUAGCCCAUGGAUGUGGCUGCUUUCAACAAGAUCUAA
rnacentral:lncRNA from 1 species